GAUGAACGCUAGCUACAGGCUUAACACAUGCAAGUCGAGGGGCAGCAUGGUCUUAGCUUGCUAAGGCCGAUGGCGACCGGCGCACGGGUGAGUAACACGUAUCCAACCUGCCGAUGACUCGGGGAUAGCCUUUCGAAAGAAAGAUUAAUACCCGAUGGCAUAGUUCUUCCGCAUGGUAGAACUAUUAAAGAAUUUCGGUCAUCGAUGGGGAUGCGUUCCAUUAGGCAGUUGGCGGGGUAACGGCCCACCAAACCUACGAUGGAUAGGGGUUCUGAGAGGAAGGUCCCCCACAUUGGAACUGAGACACGGUCCAA
rnacentral:rRNA from 1 species